UGAAAGAGAACAAAAGAGAAACACAAAGAACACACGAACCUCUGUCUCCUAUAUCCUGUUGUUGGUUCCGUUCCCCUCACUUCCUUCUUUACUCUUUUCCCUUGUGCUUUAAUUAAACUUAACACAAUGGAAUGGAACGCAGUGGAAUGAAGCGUGGUUAAGUUUAAUGAAAAAGCACUAGAGGGAAAAGACAAAGAAGGGAAGUGAGUGUUCGUUUGUUGUUUAUUUCAAUUAAAUCGUGCUUCCAUUACAUUUAAUUGAAAUAAAACAAAGAACGAACGGGAACUGGAUUCAACUAUUAAUGUGAAGAGAGUAUUUUGUUCCAAUUAAUUUAAUAAAAACAAACGGAGUGCGUGUUUUAUUCAAUUAAUUGAAGCAAAAUAGGAACGUAACCAGGAUUCAACUAUAGGAUGUAGAGAGAAGUGUAGUGAAAGGAAU
rnacentral:ribozyme from 1 species